rnacentral:rRNA from 1 species
GACGAACGCUGGCGGCGUGCUUAACACAUGCAAGUCGAACGGUGAAGCGCUUGCCUUUUUGGUGGGUGUGGAUGAGUGGCGAACGGGUGAGUAACACGUGAGUAACCUGCCCUCUUCUUCUGGAUAACCUCAUGAAAGUGGGGCUAAUACGGGGUAUUCCGGGUCUGUCGCAUGGCGGGUUUGGGAAAGAUUGCGCCUUUGGGUGUUUUCGGUGGGGGAUGGGCUCGCGGCCUAUCAGCUUGUUGGUGGGGUGAUGGCCUACCAAGGCGGUGACGGGUAGCCGGCCUGAGAGGGUGGACGGCCACACUGGGACUGAGACACGGCCCAGACUCCUGCGGGAGGCAGCAGUGGGGAAUAGUGCACAAUGGGCGCAAGCCUGAUGCAGCGACGCCGCGUGAGGGAUGGAGGCCUUCGGGUUGUGAACCUCUUUCGCCAGUGAAGCAGGCCUGCUCCUGUGUGGGUGGGUUGACGGUAGCUGGAUAAGAAGCGCCGGCUAACUACGUG